rnacentral:rRNA from 1 species
UUCGACACACUAUCAUUAACUGAAUCCAUAGGUUAAUGAGGCGAACCGGGGGAACUGAAACAUCUAAGUACCCCGAGGAAAAGAAAUCAACCGAGAUUCCCCCAGUAGCGGCGAGCGAACGGGGAGCAGCCCAGAGCCUGAAUCAGUGUGUGUGUUAGUGGAAGCGUCUGGAAAGGCGCGCGAUACAGGGUGACAGCCCCGUACACAAAAAUGCACAUGCUGUGAGCUCGAUGAGUAGGGCGGGACACGUGGUAUCCUGUCUGAAUAUGGGGGGACCAUCCUCCAAGGCUAAAUACUCCUGACUGACCGAUAGUGAACCAGUACCGUGAGGGAAAGGCGAAAAGAACCCCGGCGAGGGGAGUGAAAAAGAACCUGAAACCGUGUACGUACAAGCAGUGGGAGCACGCUUAGGCGUGUGACUGCGUACCUUUUGUAUAAUGGGUCAGCGACUUAUAUUCUGUAGCAAGGUUAACCGAAUAGGGGAGCCGAAGGGAAACCGAGUCUUAACUGGGCGUUAAGUUGCAGGGUAUAGACCCGAAACCCGGUGAUCUAGCCAUGGGCAGGUUGAAGGUUGGGUAACACUAACUGGAGGACCGAACCGACUAAUGUUGAAAAAUUAGCGGAUGACUUGUGGCUGGGGGUGAAAGGCCAAUCAAACCGGGAGAUAGCUGGUUCUCCCCGAAAGCUAUUUAGGUAGCGCCUCGUGAAUUCAUCUCCGGGGGUAGAGCACUGUUUCGGCAAGGGGGUCAUCCCGACUUACCAACCCGAUGCAAACUGCGAAUACCGGAGAAUGUUAUCACGGGAGACACACGGCGGGUGCUAACGUCCGUCGUGAAGAGGGAAACAACCCAGACCGCCAGCUAAGGUCCCAAAGUCAUGGUUAAGUGGGAAACGAUGUGGGAAGGCCCAGACAGCCAGGAUGUUGGCUUAGAAGCAGCCAUCAUUUAAAGAAAGCGUAAUAGCUCACUGGUCGAGUCGGCCUGCGCGGAAGAUGUAACGGGGCUAAACCAUGCAC